AUGGCCUGGGUUCCUCUCCUCCUUACCCUCCUCAUUCACUGCAGAGGGUCUUUGGCUCAGCCUGUCCUAACUCAGCCAUCAGCAAUGUCCGGGUCUGUGGGGCAGACAGUCACCAUCUCCUGCACUGGAAGCAGCAGUAAUGUUGGACGUGGAUAUCCAUACUGGUUCCAGCAGUUCCCUGGCAGUGUCCCCAGACUCCUCAUCUAUGAUGCUGAUAAGAGACCUUCAGGUAUUCAAGACCGAUUCUCAGGCUCCAGGUCAGGGAACACAGCCUUCUUGAGCAUCUCUGGGCUCCAGUCUGAGGAUGAGGGUAAUUAUUAUUGCUUUGCCUGGGACAACAGCAAUAAUGCUAACACAGUGCUCCAGGCCAGUGGGGAAGUGAGACAAAAACAGUGA